GAACGAUGAAUCUUCUAGCUUGCUAGAAGUGGAUUAGUGGCGCACGGGUGAGUAAUGCAUAGGUUAUGUGCCCUUUAGUCUGGGAUAGCCACUGGAAACGGUGAUUAAUACUGGAUACUCCCUACGGGGGAAAGUUUUUCGCUAAAGGAUCAGCCUAUGUCCUAUCAGCUUGUUGGUGAGGUAAUGGCUCACCAAGGCUAUGACGGGUAUCCGGCCUGAGAGGGUGAUCGGACACACUGGAACUGAGACACGGUCCAGACUCCUACGGGAGGCAGCAGUAGGGAAUAUUGCUCAAUGGGGGAAACCCUGAAGCAGCAACGCCGCGUGGAGGAUGAAGGUUUUAGGAUUGUAAACUCCUUUUGUUAGAGAAGAUUAUGACGGUAUCUAACGAAUAAGCACCGGCUAACUCCGUGCCAGCAGCCGCGGUAAUACGGAGGGUGCAAGCGUUACUCGGAAUCACUGGGCGUAAAGAGUGCGUAGGCGGGGUAAUAAGUCAGAUGUGAAAUCCUGUAGCUUAACUACAGAACUGCAUUUGAAACUGUUACUCUGGAGUGUGGGAGAGGUAGGUGGAAUUCUUGGUGUAGGGGUAAAAUCCGUAGAGAUCAAGAGGAAUACUCAUUGCGAAGGCGACCUGCUGGAACAUUACUGACGCUGAUGCACGAAAGCGUGGGGAGCAAACAGGAUUAGAUACCCUGGUAGUCCACGCCCUAAACGAUGGAUGCUAGUUGUUGCCUUGCUUGUCAGGGCAGUAAUGCAGCUAACGCAUUAAGCAUCCCGCCUGGGGAGUACGGUCGCAAGAUUAAAACUCAAAGGAAUAGACG
rnacentral:rRNA from 1 species